AGUGAACGCUGGCGGUAGGCCUAACACAUGCAAGUCGAACGGCAGCACAGUAAGAGCUUGCUCUUACGGGUGGCGAGUGGCGGACGGGUGCGGAAUACAUCGGAAUCUACUUUUUCGUGGGGGAUAACGUAGGGAAACUUACGCUAAUACCGCAUACGCCCUACGGGUGAAAGCAGGGGAUCUUCGGACCUUGCGCGAUUGAAUGAGCCGAUGUCGGAUUAGCUAGUUGGCGGGGUAAAGGCCCACCAAGGCGACGAUCCGUAGCUGGUCUGAGAGGAUGAUCAGCCACACUGGAACUAAGACACGGUCCAGACUCCUACGGGAGGCAGCAGUGGGGAAUAUUGUACAAUGGGCGCAAGCCUGAUGCAGCCAUACCGCGUGGGUGAAGAAGGCCUUCGGGUUGUAAAGCCCUUUUGUUGGGAAAGAAAAGCAGCAGGUUAAUACCCCGCUGUUCUGACGGUAGCCAAAGAAUAAGCACCGGCUAACUUCGUG
rnacentral:rRNA from 1 species